rnacentral:rRNA from 1 species
GUACACUCCUGCGGGAGGCAGCAGUGGGGAAUUUUGGACAAUGGGCGAAAGCCUGAUCCAGCAAUGCCGCGUGUGUGAAGAAGGCCUUCGGGUUGUAAAGCACUUUUGUCCGGAAAGAAAUCCUUGGCUCUAAUACAGUCGGGGGAUGACGGUACCGGAAGAAUAAGCACCGGCUAACUACGUGCCAGCAGCCGCGGUAAUACGUAGGGUGCGAGCGUUAAUCGGAAUUACUGGGCGUAAAGCGUGCGCAGGCGGUUUGCUAAGACCGAUGUGAAAUCCCCGGGCUCAACCUGGGAACUGCAUUGGUGACUGGCAGGCUAGAGUAUGGCAGAGGGGGGUAGAAUCCCACGUGUAGCAGUGAAAUGCGUAGAGAUGUGGAGGAAUACCGAUGGCGAAGGCAGCCCCCUGGGCCAAUACUGACGCUCAUGCACGAAAGCGUGGGGAGCAAACAGGAUUAGAUACCCUAGUAGUCCCAUGA